CUGUUUGGGGGCCAGGCAGUGCCUUCAGCCACCCUGGGAAGAGCCCAGGGUCCCCGUCCUGCCGUGUCCAGGCCUGGGAGGGAGCCUGCUCUUCUUGGGCCAGGCGCUGUGUAUAAAGGGCCCCAUGAGCCGCAGCUACAGUCCAGGCAGGGCUCACCACAGACAGAGGCCAGAGUCUGGGGACAGUGACACUGGGUCAUGUUUAUUCAAUUUCACAUCAGGCGCCUCAGAUCCCUGAAUCAACAGUGGGUUCUGUAAACUGUUGCCUAAGAGGAAGAUCAAAGCCUGGUAGAUGGUGGCCCAGGGAGAGGAUUGGCCAUAAAGGCAGUGGCCCAGCGCCACCUGCAGGGAGGCCGCUGCAGAGCCGGAGCCUGCAGGGACAGAGGCCGCUUCCCCCUCGGCCCACGGCCAGGCCCUGAGGGAGAGGCCACCACCACCCAAGCACCCCUCACACAAGCGGGGGGAUCAGUGGGUCCUGCUCAGGAGGCUCUUCGCCCAGGCACUUCUGCGCCCAGCAGAAUUCCUCAGCUGCCCCCGGGGAGCGGCCAUCGAGGGCUGCUUACGGGACAGGCCUGAGCCCUCAGGGCUGCGCUGGGCACUCAGUCCUCCCAGCGGCUCCCUCCUGCCCAGCAGCUCCACAACUGCUGACCCUGGACACUCCCAUUCCCGGGGCAGGGCACACAUGCCUUGGGGCCCCUGGCUGUCCACCCAGACCCUGCCCGGCCACUGUGCCCAUGCGCUGCCCACCAAAACCUCAUGGAAGGCUUUGCUGGAGGAAGCUCAGGCCUUGGAGGGCUGCCCCGGCCUCCACCCUGGAGGUGACCUCCCCCAGAGACUGCCUCUGCUGGACAGGUGACGGCCAAACAAGAUGUCCACGCAGUGGAAUGUCACCCAGUCCCGAAGGAAAAGGAAAGCCAGGCACGAGGUAAAGUAGGUGACCGUUGAGAACGAGCCGGUGAUGUGGGCCGGCCACCGGGCAAAUGCUGUAGGAGUCCUGCUGCCCAGCUCCUGGGGUGGCCACAUUCCAAGGUGGUCGCUGCUGCUGGGGAGGGGACAGUUUUGUUUGGGAGAUGGCAGGUCCUGGGGAUGGGGAGGUGGCCUCACAAUGCUUGGCUUGGCCUGAUGCCACUGGACAGUGCACCUUAAAGUGGUCACGUGGGGAGUCCCAUGGCACAUGGAUGUCACCACCCUUCUUACGUUGAGGUGAACGUGUUGUUCCACGUUACACUGGUCCUUUUUAGUCUCCCUUGUUUGGGGUCUUCCAAUUGUCUCAGGAAGGGCAGCUGGACGGUGCCCGAGCUCCACCUGCACAACAGGAAUGGGGAGAGAGUCCACUAAAGGCUCCUGGUGGGGAGAGUCCACUAAAGCAGACGGGCCCAAGUGACCUCCACCAGGCCACAGGAGUCCCACGUCCCGUCCCACCCGCCACCUCCAGGUGGAUGGGAGGCCACAGCUUUAGCGUUUGGGGAACUCUGAGGACCACCACGGUCCUGCCCAUCAGCUGCAACACAGGGGGGGCCUCUGGAACCUGGCCACAGGCACAGGAGAAGUCCUGCAGAGCCCCUGGGGACCCUCCCCACCUCUGCCUGAGCCAGCCCUGGGUGAGUGCAUCUGGCCAGCAGUGAAGGGGCUAUCAAGUGUCUGUGCUCUGUCGUGUCCUCUGUCCCUCAUGCUCCCUGCCUCACCCCUGCCUUGGCCUGUGAGGGCUCCUGAGGUGGCUGCUGUCCCAAGGGCAGAUGGCCCCAGGGCCUUCCUCCAGCGGCCCUUCCCCGCUCUGCGUUGGUGCCUCGACUGCCAUCCCCAUGCCUUGUGUUGAGCUCUCUGGCCUGUCUCUAGCCACCUGAGACCCCCGAAGCCCAGGGGCCAGGGAAGGGCGCUGCCCGAGCGGGAGCUCUGUCCCCGGCACCCUGAGGAGCACAGGCCCGGAGGCGCCGUAGAGCAGAGCCUGGUGACUCACACCAGCUGCUCCGGGCUGUGCUCAGGCCUCCUCUCUAGGGGGGACAUCGAGGAACCAGAACUGUGUCCACUGUCCCUGGAAGGACCUGCCUGUGCCCACAGCCUCCUGAGCCUCGUGGAGACCUGGGUCACGGCAGGCGGAGAGGCGCUUCCUCACUGGGACUCACCCCUGGGCUGCGCAGCCAGGGAGGGGGUCUCCCGGGCUCCCCCAGCCCCACCGACCCCUGCAGACUCCUCCCCUGAGGAUGGGUCCAGGGCGCCUCGGGCCGCUCUCCCCAGGACCUCUGCCUCAGGGUGAGCUGCCAGCCCAGAGCUCCAAGCACCAGAGCCACCCUGUCCCUGCCCCCAGGCAGAGCUGGCCCAGCCUGGGAGUGUCCCUCCAUUGGCUGCAGGUUCUUCCUGGUCUGAGCAGUUAGAGCUGAACCCCAGCAUCUGACCCUCACCCCAGGUCUGCCGCAGCAGCUGUCCCCACCCACUGUACAGCUGACACGAGAAGCUCAGAGAAGUCUGGAGUCUUGCCCAAGGCCACACAGCUCUCCAGAGAGGAGCUGGCUCCAGAAGCAGACCUUGGGUGUGCAGGCAGCAGCCCCCCAGCUGAGGGGUGAAGGUCGAGGGGACAGUGUGUGCUGGGAGCCACAGGGCCAGGCGCAGGGCUCAUGGGGGAGCACAGAAUUGCUGCAGGGCCCAGGUGCUGCCCUGCAGCAGCCUUUGGACAGUCCUGCAGGAGGUGGAGCAAGGACAGCCCUGACUCAGCACAAGGCCCAGGAGGAGAGGUGCCAUGGGUCUGCCACCCCUGGAUUGGUGACGGGAGCUGGAGCAGGACAGAGACCUGGCGCUGAGUGGCAUCUCCAUCCCUGCAGUACUGACACCUGCCGGGGCGCGUGGUUUGCGGGCCCAGCGUGAGUUCCUGGCCGGUGGCGGUGCGCAGACCCAGCGGGGCGCUGGAGAAGGAGACAAGGCGUGCGCUCCCUGGUCUGCUGGGAGCGGGGCUGGGGGCAGCAGGCCUGGGGCCCCGGGCAGGGAAGGGCCUCCAGUGCCGCAGUCUGGCGGGGCACAAAAUAACCAAGCCGCCACACAGCCCCGUAGGUUCAAAACAGGAACUCCUUUACUCUCCGCACCCCGGGAACGCCGCCUCCCCGACACACCCCACACCACCCCACACCGGAACUCCCCCCACCCACCCGAACUUCACCAGCCAACGCGAACUCUGCAGGCAUCCCCACGAGAGCUCAAAAGUCAUCAUCUUAAUGGCUCGCUGGCGUCACCUCUCAACCACUACUUCUGGCAAAAUGCCAUGCGUCAUCCCGACUCGGCUGUGGCCCUCAACACUCCAGGGGCCAGGGGCCUGGUCAAGGGGAGUUUCCGUAGCCAGUGGGGACACAGAAAAAUGGCUCCUGCACCUGCCCAAAAGCUCAGGCGGGUCUCCUGCCCUCCAGGAGCCACCAUGGCAGAGGCUGUGACAGGGAGGACAUGUGGGGAUAGCGACAGGGCCCAGGCCACCUCAGGCUUCUGCGCUCUGAGAGUCUUUAAGGGCCGAUUCCUUGGUCAAGGGAACCAACGAGGAAGGACACAGUGGGUCUGAAGAGGUCGGGUGCUGGCGCCACGUCCCCACGGACGCAGCAGAGACACCCAGGAGUCCCCACGUGCCGGGUGCAGAGGGGCCUGCUGCUGCCUCAGGGCUGUGGGCUGUGCUGCGUCCCUGAGAGACCAGUGUGUGCAACUCCACAACCAGGAAGCAGGUCUCGGCGUCCACCUAUCAGGGAGCCCGGGGGCCGAGGCCGGUGGAAAGCAGGGUGCGUCCCAGAGCAGAGCCUUCUUUGUCCCCAGGUGAAAGGUGGCAGGACAGCCCAUCCCCCAGAUCCGAGGUGCCCCAGAUGCCCCUGUGCCCUGUGCACUCUGCCACCCCCCCCACCCACCAGAGACCUGAGGGAGCUCACUCACUACCCGAUGGCCUCAGUGCCCCCGCCCUGUGCAGCCAGCUCACCUGUGGCAGGUGGCCCUGGGAGCUGGGGCCCAGGUCUGGCAGAGCUGGCCCCACACUUGUGUGGCCCAGGGAUGGACGGCCAGUCUCCUGGGUUUGCAGACCUGCAGCCCAACUUCAGGGCUGUCCCAGGAGCACCGCCCAGACCAGCCCUGGCAGACGGCUCCCAGCUCUGUCUCCCAAGGGUGUCGGGUCCUCCUGCCCCAGUGGACAGCCUGGACACCGCACGGGGCAGCCUGUGCUCACAGCACGGCUCCUACCUGCUUCUGUUCUGUUUUAAAAACUUGCUCACAUAGAGAAGACAAAGUGAUAAAGCUAAGGACCCUGAGCAUUGUCACCAAAGGCUACAUGAAUCAGAGCAUCACGUGCCUCAGAAUCACUCAUCCAUCAAAAAAUAAACCCAAUUAAUAAAAAUUCUACAAGCAAUUAAUCUAGAGAGAAAAAGGGAAAGGUUUUUCUUUUUUUUUCCCAUGGCAGGGGUCAAAGCCAGGCAAGUGCCCUCGUCCUGAGCCAUGUCCCAGCACCGUCCUGAGGGCAGGAAGCACAGAGGUAACCAGAGUCCUAAGCCUGGCAUCCAGAGUGCGCUUCUUUGUCACCCUGAUGUCUGUGACAUGCACCCGGGAUUCCUGGCUGGGGAAGGACACCCCCAUGGCCAGAGGCCACCCCAGGGACCAAGAGAAGCCAGGAGGAAGCCCAGGAUCGGGUGGAGAAGGAGUGCUGUUGAGAGCCCUCCCAGCCCAGCCACCCCGCCCUGCACCCUGCAGGCUCAGCAGCCCCACCUUGGAGGGACUCACCCCAAACUCUGGUCCAGACCAGCCUCAGCCUCCUGGAAGAUGGGGAGCAGCCCCCCAGCCCAAGCCUUGGUCCCUGAACAAGGGGCUGCACUUGGGAUGCUCUCAGCCCAUGGCCUGGAUUCUCCAUUCUGAACUCGCCCCCCAUCUCCACCUGGGGCAUCUGACCCCCUGCUCCAGAGGCGAGUUUUAAACAUGAAUUCUAAGACAGGAACCAGCAAAGUGGGUCUGCCGAGAGGAAUGAGGGACCCUUGAACCCCAGGAGGGGAGACCCCAGAACCCCAGGAGAGACCCUGACCCAAAAGAGAGCCCCAUGCUCCAGGAGCAACAGGGCCACCCUCACACCUCUCCCAGGCCGGUGUCCACCGCCUCGACCCAGCAUAAAUGCAGGGGGAGUCAGGGCUGCUGUCUCCCAAAGCAGGCAGGCGAGGCAUCAAGACUCCAAGCAGAGGGUGCUGCAGGAACAUGAUGCAGGUCUCUGGCACGGAGGAGCCACAGGGCUGCAGGAGCCUGGCCCUCCCGCCUGAGUCUCGGGGCACCUGCUGCCCCCGGAAGCUUCCAGAGUCCCCCCUCCGUGACCACGCCCUCUUCUGGCCCUUCCACUCUGGCACCGGUGCUGUCUCGCUGCUCUCCAACCAGCUUGUGCCAGACUCCCUGCUCAGCCAGGUGGUCACCUGAUGCCCAUCCAUCCACACAGGCCAGGGCCUGGCACCAGACCUGUUUCCUAUUUCUAGCCAGGCCCCAGGUACGGAGGGUACAGCUCCGUCACAACACGACCCCUGACUCUCCAAACACCCUAGCCCUAGACGCUCUCCCCAAGCAGGAGACUUUAAUUAAAACCCACUGGACACAAAUCAGAGCCAGAAACACCGCCUGGCUCGUGCCACACUUGGGGAUCUAGGGAAACAGCCGUCAGUUCCUCUCUUCCUGACCUGAGUCAGAAUGUGAAGGCGAUAAUACACGAAGCUCAUUUCCAUGGCCCUAACCUUCCAGAAUGCCCGCGCCCCUCGGCAUCAGGGCAGCUCAUCACUACCUCGCCCCCCCUCCAGGAAGGCCGCCCUGCCCGCUCGGGCGCAGAGCACAGAGCUCAGGAAGCAGGUCAGGUGGCCCCUGGGGACACCCUGGUUACCUUGCCAGCGGUGUCCCCAUGCCCCAGGUGAGACCAGGAGAUGCCAAUAAUAACAGCAGCUAACACGGUCAGUCCCCACUUCAGUCUAGCCCAGCACACGGGUUGGACGCCAGAGUCCAGGAUGGGUUAACUAAGUGACAGCUGUCAAUUAAAAGCCUCAUGCCCUCCCUCAGCCUCCACCAAUCACAACACAGAUAACACGGGAGCCAUCGUCAGGGACCAAUCAUGGUGCUUCUUUCAAGGCCAGUCUGUGAUUUGGCCCCGGCACCUGUCAGUCAUGCAACGCCCUCGGCAAAGCUGGGUUCCUGCUGGGGUCCAGGUGACCAGCUCGGGGAGCACUUGACUAAAGUGGGUGAAAGAGGAGGAGCAGCCGACCAGGACCCGGUGCGGCAGAGAGGCGGGAAGUUGGAGCCCAGCACCCUGGAGUUAGAGAAGAGGCCGCUGGCCUAAGGUCAGCCAGAGACAGGACCUGGGGACUGGCCACAUCCACAGAGAACCGUGGCCAAGAGGAAGAUGGACACGUGCAGAGGAGGGACGCCAGAAAACCUUCCCGGAGGAGCUUCCAGGCGUCUCAGGACUUGAAAGUGCAAAGGAGGAAACGCUGGACCGUGACCCAGGCUCAGGAGGAGUGUGGGGGCUCCCCCAGGACAGACGGCCCUGGGUCAGUGGCGGGAGACAAGCCGGCUGGAGCCACCUGACAGCCACCAUGCGGUGCUCCACAGAGCCUGCUGCAGGUGCGGCACUCACCAGCACCGGGCCGUCUUAUUUUUUCUUGUUUCUGUAUUUGUUCUUUUUAGUUGUACAUGACUGUUACGGCCUGGAUGUGAGGUGUCCCCCAAAAGCAAUGCAAGAAGAUUCAAAGGAGAAAUGAUUGGGUUGUGAGCUUCUUAACCAAUCAGUGCAUUAAUCCCCUGAUGGAAUUAACUGGGUGGCAACUGGAGGCAGGUGGGGUGCGGCUGGAGGAGGUGGGCAUUGGGGCGUGGCUUUGGGGUGCAUUUGUACCUGGCAAGUGGAGUCUCUCUGCUUCUUGAUCCUCACAUGAGCUGCUGCCCUCUGCCUCCCUCUGCCGCCAGGAUGUUCAGCCUCACCUGAGCCCUGAGGAAUGGAGCAGACUUCUGUGGACUAAGACCUCUAAAACUGUGAGCCCCCAAAUAAACUCUUCCUCCUUUACAAUUGUUCUGGUCGGCUCUUUUAGUCACAACAGCAGAAAAGCUGACUAAAACAGAAUUUGGUACCAGGAGUGGGGUUCAGGAGCUUACGGAGCUUUGUGGGAUUGGAAGGAGGAAUUUGAGAUUGUAGCAGUGCGGGCUGGAAAUGCUUUAGAUUGUCGUAAGCUGAGCUGAGUGGCCAAUCCUGGGGGAAGCUCCGAAGACCAGAAUGCCAAAAGGACCAUGGUCAGCUAAGACUGGGCUCAAGAGGGUUCAGCAGAGGACUCAAUCGGAAUCUGGAGAAGAGGCCAUUCAGUUAUGUUCUGGCCGAGAAGUGAUCUGCGUGUCUGAUUAGUUCUACUGUCUUUCCUGUUCCCCAC